ensembl:lncRNA
CUUUUCUUUAUGGAAGACUUCCACCUAUGUGGACACAGAUUACCAAGAGAUACAACUCAUUUGUUAAUGUUUGUACCAUCUGAAAACAUUACCAGCAAUGAUUCACAUUUUCUUCCAUAUCGCUCCUUCCUACUUGAUGCACAUGGCAUUCCAGAAGAUGAUUUGGGAAGCACCAGAGAAGAUCAACUGCACUAUCCAUUUUAUAAAUUGGUCCUCAGGCACAGAGAACUGCAGGCAAACCCAUACAAGCUGACCCCAGGUCUCAAGCACAGUCCUGCCAGUCACACAGCACUCUUAUCAAGACUAGAGCAUUGCGAGGUGCAACAUAACAGGGAGGGAUUUGUCUGGCAAUGGAGGAGUCAUAUGGUAGCGCUUAGCUGGUUUGGUUACUCUUGAAAGCUGCUGCAAGUGAUAAUUCGCAUGUGCGCCAGGAGCUGUCACUAGAUAGACACCCACACCUCUGGGUGUGAGACA